rnacentral:rRNA from 1 species
CCAAUCGAACUCGGAGAUAGCUGGUUCUCCCCGAAAUAGCUUUAGGGCUAGCCUCGAUUUAGAUUACCGGGGGUAGAGCACUGAAUGGGCUAGGGGGCCACAAAGCUUACCGAACCCUAUCAAACUUCGAAUACCGGAUAAUUGAUGAACGGGAGUCAGACGGCGGGAGAUAAGUUUCGUCGUCAAAAGGGAAACAGCCCAGAUCUACGACUAAGGUCCCGAAAUCACAGUUAAGUGGAAAAGGAUGUGCAGUUGCACAGACAACCAGGAUGUUGGCUUAGAAGCAGCCACUCAUUUAAAGAGUGCGUAAUAGCUCACUGGUCGAGUGAUUGUGCGCCGAAAAUGUACCGGGGCUAAACUGUGUACCGAAGUCUAGGGAUCGUGAUAAACGAUCGGUAGGGGAGCAACGUGUGCGGGCUGAAGCCGAAGCGGAAGCGACGGUGGACUGCACGGGAGAGAGAAUGCCGGCAUGAGUAGCGAGAGCAAAGUGAGAAUCUUUGCCGUCGAAAGCCUAAGGUUUCCUGAGGAAGGCUCGUCCUCUCAGGGUAAGUCAGGACCUAAGCCGAGGACAAAAGUCGUAGGCGAUGGACAACUGGUUGAUAUUCCAGUACCACCUUUAGCGUUUGACUGAAGCAGUGACACAGAAGGAUAGACAGAGCGCGUGACUGGUAGAGCGCGUCCAAGCGAUGAGGGAGUUAAGUAGUGAAGAACGCUUAACAAUCCUGGGUCGUGAUGGGGACUGAAAAUAAGUAGGGAAGCUGUUGAAUUCACGCUGGCGAGAAAAGCUGCUAAGGAGCGAAAGGGUGCCUGUACCGCAAACCGACACAGGUAGGCGAGGAGAGAAUCCUAAGACGAGCGGGAGAACCCUUGUUAAGGAACUCGGCAAAAUGACCCCGUAACUUCGGGAUAAGGGGAGCCUCGGAAGAGGCCGCAGAGAAUAGGCCCAAGCGACUGUUUAGCAAAAACACAGGUCUGUGCGAAGUAGAGAUACGACGUAUACGGGCUGACGCCUGCCCAGUGCCGGAAGGUUAAGGGGAAGUGUUAGGGCAACCGAAGCACGGAACUUAAGCCCCGGUGAACGGCGGCCGUAACUAUAACGGUCCUAAGGUAGCGAAAUUCCUUGUCGGGUAAGUUCCGACCCGCACGAAUGGCGUAACGACUUGGGCACUGUCUCAACAAGGGACCCGGCGAAAUUGUAGUAUGUGUGAAGAUGCACAUUACCCGCGAUAGGACGGAAAGACCCCGUAGAGCUUUACUGUAGUUUAACAUUGGAUUUCGGUAACAUAUGUACAGGAUAGGUGGGAGGCGAAGAACCAGGGACGCCAGUUUCUGGGGAGCCGAUCUUGGGAUACCACUCUUGUGUUAUUGGAGUUCUAACGAAUUGCCGUGAACCGGGAUUCGGACAGUGUUAGAUGGGCAGUUUGACUGGGGCGGUCGCCUCCCAAAGAGUAACGGAGGCGUCCAAAGGUUCCCUCAGAAUGGUUGGAAACCAUUCGCAGAGUGCAAAGGCAGAAGGGGGCCUGACUGCGAGACCGACAGGUCGAGCAGGUACGAAAGUAGGGCUUAGUGAUCCGGCGGUAUGAGAGUGGAAUUGCCGUCGCUCAACGGAUAAAAGCUACCUCGGGGAUAACAGGCUUAUCUCCCCCAAGAGUCCACAUCGACGGGGAGGUUUGGCAC